rnacentral:rRNA from 1 species
CGGCAUGCCUAAGACAUGCAAGUCGAACGAAGUGGCCCAUUGAAGAUGGAGUGCUUGCACAAAGUCAGAUUUGGUUUACCACUUAGUGGCAGACGGGUGAGUAACACGUGGGUAACCUACCUCAAAGACUGGGACAACAGUUGGAAACGACUGCUAAUACCGGAUAAUCCAUAUUUAGAUAACUAGAUAUGUUAAAAGAAGCGUUUGCUUCACUUUGAGAUGGGCUUGCGGCGCAUUAGAUAGUUGGUGGGGUAAUGGCCUACCAAGUCGACGAUGCGUAUCCGAGCUGAGAGGCUGAUCGGACACACUGGGACUGAGACACGGUCCAAACUCCUACGGGAGGCAGCAGGUGGGGAAUAUUGCACAAUGGGCGAAAGCCUGAUGCAGCAACGCCGCGUGAGUGAAGAAGGUCUUCGGAUUAGUAAAACUCUGUCCUUGGGGAAGAAGAACUGACGGUACCCUUGGAGGAAGCCCCGGCUAACUACGUG